rnacentral:rRNA from 1 species
CCUACGGGUGGCAGCAGUGGGGGAUAUUGCACAAUGGGGGAAACCCUGAUGCAGCGACGCCGCGUGUGGGAAGACGGUCUUCUGGAUUGUAAACCACUGUCCCCAGGGACGAAAAUGACGGUACCUGGGGAGGAAGCUCCGGCUAACUACGUGCCAGCAGCCGCGGUAAUACGUAGGGAGCAAGCGUUGUCCGGAAUUACUGGGUGUAAAGGGAGCGUAGGCGGGGAUGCAAGUUGGGUGUAAAAACUACCGGCUCAACCGAUAGUCGCACUCAAAACUGCAGCGCUUGAGUGAAGUAGAGGCAGGCGGAAUUCCUAGUGUAGCGGUGAAAUGCGUAGAUAUUAGGAGGAACACCAGUGGCGAAGGCGGCCUGCUGGGCUUUUACUGACGCUGAGGCUCGAAAGUGUGGGGAGCAAACAGGAUUAGAUACCCGUGUAGUC